AAGACUAUACUUUCAGCGAUCAUUUCUAUAGUUCGUUACUUGAGAAAUGUGUGUCUAAAGUGGUAGGUCUCGCUAUCCAUGAUGACGAUUCAAGAUAUUCCCGUUCAGA
rnacentral:snoRNA from 8 species